rnacentral:rRNA from 1 species
UACGUAGGGGGCGAGCGUUGUCCGGAGUUACUGGGCGUAAAGCGCACGCAGGCGGUCUGCUAAGUUUGGAGUGACAGUUGGUGGCUUAACUGCCAAAGUGCUUCGAAAACUGACAGACUUGAGGGCUUCAGAGGGACACGGAAUUCCGGGUGGAGUGGUGAAAUGCGUAGAGAUCCGGAAGAACACCAAAGGCGCAGGCAGUGUCCUGGCUGGCAACUGACGCUCAGGUGCGAAAGCGAGGGGAGCGAACGGG